UCGUCUCUCCCGAUCUGGAACCCUCUCGUGGCUUCCUCUCUCCCCAUCCCCUCCGGCCAGCCAUGGAACCCCGGUCUGCCGCGGUGGUCGGCGCCGGCGUAGUCUGCCCAGGUGACUCGCAUGUCUCCUCUCUGCCUCUGCAGCGCCCCCCCCCCCCCCCCCCCCCCCCCCCCCCAAAUCUGGGCCAUCCCGUCUCCUUUCAGCAUUGUAAAAGGAGCACGAGGUCAAAGGGGGGCAAGCGCUGAGCGGCUGGAAGCUGAUGCCUGACGGGACACCAUGCACUAGGGACAAUCUCUGCUCGUUUUCCACCAGGUGCUACCUCAAACUAACGCCUACUCUGAGCCCGCAUUCGCUAGCUACAGCCGUGGCCAACCAUUGCCCACAAUGGCUUAGGCUGAUGCCUGAUGGGACACCAUGCUUAGACGAGGAGUGCACGCCGUGGAAGUAAUCUGUUCUACGGUUCCACCCUGAACGGCAGCGGGCUUCCGAGAUAUUCGCCUAUCGAGGUAAAUAUUGUUCUGCUUCUUCGAUGUUACUUGAUGCAUGCUAGGUGCUUGACAAAAUGACAGAGUGUGUAUAUCGUCAUACACGUAUUUAGUAUUAGCCAUUCAGUUGGUAGAUGCAGCUUCUUGGAACUGUUGAAAAUUGGCCUCCGGUGAAGAAUAACAGUGCGCUGAAUGUCUCAACUAUGUAUCAGGUACCACACAUGUUUUGUCUGUCCAUUUCUAUGCCAUUAUUUUUCUUCUGGCUUUGGUUGCUUUGUUAGUGAAUGCGCGGUGAGGGGUUUACUCUUAGAACUUCUAAAUUUUAGUUCAAAUCAUGACCUGAAGUUUGGACAUUUCACAAACUUAUUUUUAGUUUGCAUCCAAUGAUUCUGAAUAUGAAGUUUCUGAACCUAAUUAAGUGUUUGCAUCUUAAAAUACACCCACCUUAGUUUUUAAAUUGCAGCAAAAAAAUUAUAAAAUACAUGUUGCACAUUGAGUGUUGGAAAUUAAAGUGAAGGUAUUGACUUACAUUUUAAAUACUUGACAUACUUUCCAUGAACUUGCAUUGACUUUAUAGAUUCUAAUUUUUGUUAUUAACUUGGAAAGUCUUAUUACUUCAGGUCUUGAAUCCCUACAUGGUGAUCCUAUCCUGAUAUGGAAGACAAGUACUCCAGCCGCUGAUGAAAGUGGCCCAGAAGCACACAUAAUGAGGGACGUGGUUUUGAUUUAUAGAGCAUUUGAGGAUCAAAUGAGAUGAAGAUUCAGUUCUCUAAUUUCUGUUUUGGUUCAAUUUUUUCAUCAUUUCUACUCAAGGUGGCGAAGGGUUUCCUUGUGAUCAGCGCGGCACCAAUCUUCUGGGUGUUAUGGAAGACCAAGAAUAAAUCCUGCUUUAAAUGUGUUCGUCCUGGAGAUCCAACCACUGUAGUUUUUUUAUGUUUGUCAGUUCUUAGCAUCUUGGGCAACCUUUGCAGAAAGGGGCUCUUUAAGGACUGUUGCGACAGCGAUCCGGUAAGCUGGAACCAAUAAACUGUCGUCCUCCUUUUUGUGCCCUCCUGUGUUAGCCUAUUUGGGAUUCUAUGUCCAAUUUCUUUUUUCUCUGUAUGAGAGUUGGCUGUAGUUCGUCAAUUACUGGUCGACGAUGCUGAUGCUCAUGUUACAAGGAUAUGAUGUAAGGAGUAGUUGUUUAUGCUUUUGUGUUCUGUUUGGGUGGCUUAUACCUGGCUCGUACACUGGUGUGUGUGCAUGUGUAUACUGGAAUGAUUUCAGCAACGAUAUUGGGCAUGUAAGCUACUUUUCUUGGAAAAAAAGUGCAGCUACAUGGCAAACAUGACAGAUGUGAAGAUUUUACUGAAGAGAAA